rnacentral:rRNA from 1 species
UACGAAGGGUGCAAGCGUUACUCGGAAUUACUGGGCGUAAAGCGUGCGUAGGCGGUUCGUUAAGUCUGACGUGAAAUCCCCGGGCUCAACCUGGGACGUGCGUUGGAAACUGGCGAUCUAGAGUACGGUAGAGGGUUGUGGAAUUCCCGGUGUAGCAGUGAAAUGCGUAGAGAUCGGGAGGAACACUCGUGGCGAAGGCGGCCACCUGGACCAGUACUCACGCUGAGGCACGAAAGCGUGGGGAGCAAACAGG